UACAGAGGUCCCAAGCGUUGUUCGGAUUCACUGGGCGUAAAGGGUGCGUAGGCGGUUGGGUAAGUCUGACGUGAAAUCUCCGAGCCUAACUCGGGAACUGCGUCCGAUACUGGAAGGCUUGAAUCCGGGAGAGGGAUGCGGAAUUCCAGGUGUAGCGGUGAAAUGCGUAGAUAUCUGGAGGAACACCGGUGGCGAAGGCGGCAUCCUGGACCGGCAUUGACGCUGAGGCGCGAAAGCCAGGGGAGCAAACGGG
rnacentral:rRNA from 1 species